GGGCUUCAUGCCAAGCAAAUCUGUAUAUAUAUAAAAUAAAAUAAAAAGUCAAGCAUAGGCACCUCAAAGUUUCUCAUGCUACCAAGCUAUACCCCAGUUCCAAGAGAUGUGUGAACAUUAUUCACAUCCUCAUAGUAUGUCCAAGCUAUACCAUUCCAAGCCAAGUUACAUUCUUCUAGCUCCAACUCUACAAGCAAAGAAUUUCUGGCACUUGCCUUAUUUCAAAUCUUCUUAGCCCCUGCCCUAUUUCAAACAUCAUGCUAGUGUAUAUGCUCCUUAACCCCCAAAGCUCAAUUUAUCCUUACAACAAUUCAACAAACUCAUUACAUCUGUGAAAGUAACCAAAACUCAUCUUUAUUCUAUCAAGUUCCCAGCAAAUCAGUAAGAAGAUGGUAUUUCUCAUGCUUUGGAAUCUCUCAAUCAAGCCUGAAAAAUAAACAAGGGAGUACGUUGGCCAGAUCAAGUGCCGGAAGGGAACUCGUAAACGAAAAGGGGGCGCCAGAAGUAUAAUCGCUAUUGAAGCAUAAUUUUUUUCCAAAGACAAGUUGCAAGAGACCAAAACUCACUUUCAUGCUAUCAAAAUCCUAGAAAAUUAGACUUCUCAUGCUUUCACAUGCUUUGGAGCUUCUAAACAAGAGAAUACGUUAGCCAAAAUCAGACACCGGAAAGGUACUCAUACACAAAGGGAGGCGCUGGAAGCAUAAUUUUCUCAGAGUGCAAGCAAACUCAUCUAUCAAGCAUUUGAGAAAAUUCACAGGGCGUGAUACCAAUCCACAUGCCAAGAAAUUUCAUUUCAUUUAAGCAUUCCAAGCAAUUCGGGCAUUUCAAGCAAAUUGAAGAACUCAUGCUCUUAUAACAAUACCUUUCAACUCAUGCUCAAGAACAUGCUCUAGCAAUACUCAGAUCAGCACUCAAUGCUAACAGAAAGGACGUGCCAAAUUCUCAACAAAAAGCAGCAUGCCAAGCAGAACUUACACACAAGCUUUCCAACCAUUCCAGCUAGAACAUCACACCUUUAGAAAAUCACUAUAAAUCAAGCUUACAACCAACAAAUCCUAGACUUUCCAGAUUAGAACUAGACAUAUCAAGCUUCAUUUUUCCAAAAUUUCGUUGCAUUUCGAGCUAGGGAAGCAUGUCAAACAGAUUCCUAAAACAGCCCAUGCAGCAGGAAUUGCACACCUCCAGCAGCUUAACCCUUACUUCGAAAAGAAACAUUUCAAAAGUUUUUUAUAAAAAAAAGCCAACAAGCUACUUUGAGCUAUUUUGACAAACACUUGGCAUGCAUUACCCAAGUGAGCUUGUAUGACUCUUGUUUAUCACCAAGCUAGAAUCCUAAACCAGAAGCUCAACCUCUGAAUUCGAUUUCUAGUUCACAAAUUCUGGAAAAUACAGAGGAACUCAAGCAUUCAAGCAUAAAAACAAGCAUGCAACAAAGGCAUCAACAUCAUGAACAUGCUUCAGUAAAAUGGAGGCAGAGAGCACUACAAUGGGUGGAUGAUCUUUGAUUUUGGAUAUGUUAUAAACAACAUAAUUUCGAGUACAUUUUGUGAAGUAAGUGUAAUCAUCCGAGUAUCAAAAAUUAAAAACACAUGUCAAAAGCAGAAACUGCAGCAACUCACCAGCCAUGGAUGAACACAGAAGUUGCAGACUAACUUUGAGGCAUCAGAAAAAUUCUAUAAAUUUUACAGGCUAUAGC
rnacentral:lncRNA from 1 species